GGGAUUGAAGCACAAAGGCUGUGCGCUCGAUUGUCAAUCGAGACGGUCCGAGUUCGAGUCUCGUCAGUCCCGCCA
rnacentral:tRNA from 1 species